rnacentral:lncRNA from 1 species
GCGGCCGGUGGCGGGAUCGAUGGCCACCUGGUAGGCGAUGCUGCUGUGGCGGAGAAACGGAGGCCAGCGCGGGGAGCGGAAGCCGGAGCCUGUCGGGAGCGACCCCGGGAAGGCCAGUCCCUCCUGCCGGAGGGAGGCGUGUUGGCGUGCGGCCGGUGGCGGGAUCGAUGGCCACCUGGUAGGCGAUGCUGCUGUGGCGGAGAGACGGAGGCCAGCGCGGGGAGCGGAAGCCGGAGCCUGUCG